AAAAUACGGGAGGCAGCAGUGAGGAAUAUUGGUCAAUGGGCGAGAGCCUGAACCAGCCAAGUAGCGUGCAGGAUGACGGCCCUCUGGGUUGUAAACUGCUUUUAGUUGGGAACAAAAAAGGCGACGUGUCGCCUCUGGAGUGUACCAUCAGAAAAAGGACCGGCUAAUUCCGUGCCAGCAGCCGCGGUAAUUUUU
rnacentral:rRNA from 1 species